UUUUAUCUUUCAGGAGAUCGGUUCAUCUUUUCAUAUAUAUGCCUAUGGUUGUUCCACAUGAUAAGUUCUAGAUUGUAGAAUGAUUCUUUAACAUUCAAAUCACGAUGACAUUUUUUCAGACCCGACCUAGCCCCUAAAAUGCUCUAGUCCAUAUUGGGCGGCAAGCCUAUGACUUUGGGCAAAUCGCUGCUUUGAAUCUUAAUGGACUAAGAAAAUAUGUCUCCCUGGCUGAUCAGAAACUCUGUAAAGUAGCACAUUUACCACCGGUUGGGGCUUUUCUUCUUUGAAGCCAUUAAUCUAUUUUAGAGUUCUUCUCAAGUGUCUGUUCUUCACCAAACUUGUACUGCAGUCCAUCUUGGCAAAGUGAGGAAGUCUACUUGGCAAUGUCUUGCUUUGAAUGCUAAUGGACUGAGAACAAUGUCUCUCUAACGGUUCAGCACCUCGGUAAAUGAGGUUCUGAUCAGUGGAGACGAGACAUCAAUUAACUCAUAUAGGGCCUUUUGAUUCUCUUCUGCAUUUAAAUAGUGGUCAUUCUUUACAAAAGGUUUCUCUAGUCCAUCUUGGCAAAGCUGUGACGUCUUAAAAGGAAAUGUCCUGCUUUGAAUGCUAAUGGACUAAGAAAAACUGUCUCUCUAACGGUUCAGCUCCUCAGUGAAAUGAGGUUCUGAUCAGUGGAGAUGAAAUAUUAGGGACACAUUUAAAUCAGUUCAUUAUGAUGACAAUUUUUUCAGACCCGAACAUAGGCCUUAAAUGCUCUAGUCCAUAUUGGCAAGCCUAUGAGGAUAGGCAAAUCCCUGCUUUGAAUGUUAAUGGACUAAGAAAAAUAUGUCUCGCUAGCCGAUCAGCAACUAUGUAAAAUGUGUUUCGAUAGCAUAUUUACCGCCUGUUGGGGAUUUUUCUUAUUUGAAGCCAUUGAUCUAUUUUGGAGUUGUUGCCAACUGACUGUUAUUUCACCAAACUUGUACUGCAGUCCAUCUUGGCAAAGUUAGAAAGCCUGCUUGGCAAUGUCUUGCUUUGAAUGCUAAUGGACUAAGAACAAUGUCUCUCUAAUGGUUCAGCACCUCGGUAAAAUGGGGUUCUGAUCAGUGGAGAUGAGACAUCAAGUAACCCAUUUGCUGCCUUCGGAACUCUUUU